rnacentral:rRNA from 1 species
AUUGAACGCUGGCGGCAUGCCUUACACAUGCAAGUCGAACGGCAGCACGGGAGCUUGCUCCUGGUGGCGAGUGGCGAACGGGUGAGUAAUGCAUCGGAACGUGCCCUGAAGUGGGGGAUAACGUAGCGAAAGUUACGCUAAUACCGCAUAUUCUGUGAGCAGGAAAGCAGGGGAUCUUCGGACCUUGCGCUUUUGGAGCGGCCGAUGUCGGAUUAGCUAGUUGGUGGGGUAAAGGCCCACCAAGGCGACGAUCCGUAGCGGGUCUGAGAGGAUGAUCCGCCACACUGGAACUGAGACACGGUCCAGACUCCUACGGGAGGCAGCAGUGGGGAAUUUUGGACAAUGGGCGCAAGCCUGAUCCAGCCAUGCCGCGUGAGUGAAGAAGGCCUCGGUUG